UAAAAUCUUAAAAAAAAAAAAAAAAGACAUUAUGAGCUGGCAUAUGAUGAGUUGGGACACCCACUCAGCCAACCGGAACCCCCUCAGGGAUUCAUUAAGGCCAACUCCUCCACAGCUCCCCACCCUGUGUACUGACUGCCCUGGGCACCACGAGUCCUUUUUCCUAGAGUAUAUCCACCACCCCCACGCUCAGGUUCGUGUCAGCUUCCUGGCUGGUCUUCAGGCUCUGGGCACUGCCAGGGCCAACACUGGUCACCUCAGUGUCAGGGUCCUCUGCUGUGUGUGCCAGCCCCCGAGGCCCAAGCCACCAAAGCUCUGGUUCCUUGCCUUGUGGCGGGUUAAGUCAUGGUGGGCACUUCCUCUUUAGAAUCCUCACCAGCAUCCUGUGAAGCUAUCAUCACCUGCCUUACUAGAAACACCCGCUCUUUUUGGGCCACUCAGUUGGGGGUUCCAGCUGGGUCUCUCCUUCACUUGGCACAGCAUGCCAGGGCUGUGCUAUCUAAUACAGUAGCCACUAGCCAUAUCCAAAUUUAAAUUAUUAAAACCAAAAUUUCAUUUCCUUAGUUACACUAGCCACACCUCGGGUGUUCAGUAGCCACAUGUGGUUACUGGCUGCCGUGCUGAACGGCACAGGUGUGACCUGUUUCUAUCUCUGCAGAGUUCUGUUGGAUAAUCCUGUAGAGCAAUGGUUCUCAACUGGGGGCAGUUUUGCCUCCCAGGGGACAUUGGACUUUGUUCAGGGACCUUUUUCAUCGUCCUAACUUGGGGAGCGGGUGCUACUGGCUCCUGGUUAUGGUAGGUAGAGGCCAGAGAUAGGGUUGGUGGGGGAAAUUCAGGCCAUGGGCUUUGUCUCAUCCUCUGGCUGUGAAAGUGCUUCUCCCCAGGUCCCUCUGGUAGUCGGCCCCAGAGGCAGCCCAGGCCAGACUAGGCCUAGAAGUAAAAGUGGAGGUUUCCAUUACCCCCUCCCUGACUCUCCAGGAACCCCUGAUGGGAUUGCUAAUGGACCUUCAACAGAGAAAAGAAAACCAGAUUUGCCAGCUGGUUUCAGGAAGGAACCUCUAUAAAUGCCAGGCAAACUGUAGACAGCUUAUAUAAGGUCGCCAAGCCUUGGUCACAUCACCCAAAGAAGUUCAGGUUUUAAAUAUUAGAUAUAAAAACUGUUGGCAGAGGUCUCACCAGGGGACCAAACACAGCGCUUCCUUUCAGGAACUCUCCAGUGUGUGGGAGAUUGUUUUAAUCACAGCCCUGCUUCUGCCAGGACCCACGAGGGGUAUCAGAGAAAGCCGAGGAGGGUUCCUGCCCUUAGGAGCUUCCUGCCCUGCCAGGGCUCCUUGGCAUUUGCUAGGGGAAACGUUAGGGUGAAUGAGUGAAUAGUCUGAGUUAUUUAGUGUCUCAGAAGUUAACAAAACAUGUUUCCCACCCCGCCCCCCUUCCUUUUUUUGAAGUGUGUGAAAACCCAGGCCUUAGCCCUUGGCUCCCAGGACAUUUGACAGAGUAAAUGAAAAUGAAAGAACAAAGCCCAUAGGGCUGAUGAAUCAGAUCAAGUGACAUCCCUCUGAAACCAGAAAAACGGGCUUGGGCCUGCCGGACAUGUGGGCCAGGUCACUGCCAAGGAAAGGUAGCUGCUUCAGUGGAGUCGGGAUGGGCACUGGGAAGGAUUGGCUCAUCGCAUACGCUUCAGAUUACUCUUGAGCAGGAGGAUGUGGCUUCCGGAAGAGCUGGUGUGGGCUCUGGCUCCACAGACAGACACUCAGCAGGCAGAUUUUGGACCUCUUAAAUUGAUCUGAUUUUUCUCAUCUUUUUUUUUUUUUUUUUUCAG